rnacentral:rRNA from 1 species
AGCAGCCGCCGCGGGAAUACGGAGGGUGCAAGCGUUAAUCGGAAUUACUGGGCGUAAAGCGCACGCAGGCGGUCUGACAAGUCAGAUGUGAAAUCCCCGGGCUUAACCUGGGAACUGCAUUUGAAACUGUCAGGCUGGAGUCUUGUAGAGGGGGGUAGAAUUCCAGGUGUAGCGGUGAAAUGCGUAGAGAUCUGGAGGAAUACCGGUGGCGAAGGCGGCCCCCUGGACAAAGACUGACGCUCAGGUGCGAAAGCGUGGGGAGCAAACAGGAUUAGAUACCCCGGUAGUCCCUGUCUCUUAUAC